GAAGGGCUGUAGCUAAGUGGUAGAGCUCCUGUUUUGUAUUCAGAAGGUCCCAGGUUCAGUUGCCAGCAUCUUCA